GCCUGGGUGGCUCAGUCGGUAGAGCGUGAGACUCUUGAUCUCUGGGUCAUGAGUUCGAGCCUCAUGUUGGGCA